rnacentral:lncRNA from 1 species
CAAAGAUUUUUCUUCUCUUCUGUGUUUGCAACAAAGGUGUGGAGAGGUAUGAACAUGAAUCUGUAACACUAUUUUCUUUCCGGUGCUUAACUUUUAAUGCUUUGUACAAUUAUUGUGUGCAUUGCAAUCUUGAUAAUAUCUAUCUUCAGUCUUCAUGGUUUUCAAUGUCUGUAUUUAUUCAGCAUACAUUUUUUUGUUACGCCUGUGUAAAAACACUGAAGGAUCAUAUGUACUUUCUAUUUCUUUCUACAUGAUGUCAACUGGAAAAUCCGUCAACUGGAAGGACAUCCAUCGCCACGCCGACGUCAACUGUUCUCCAUCAACUGGAAGGGAAAUCCAGCAAAGGUCCCUUUUAAUGUUAUUGCAGACCAUUCCAUUGAAAUGUAUAAAUCCAGCUUUCUUGUUUGUUUUAUAGCAUAUUUUACCAUAUUUAUGUGAAUGGCGGGGCAGGCCCCUACAUGUAUUUCUAGCAAUCAAGCAGUUUCCUAAUUUUGCAUCUAUGUUUUUUUAUCAUUUUAACUAAUUUUAUUCCCAUUUAUAUCUUGCUUAUACAACAUCCAAUUUUCUUUUCUAGAACUAGAAUAGAUUGAUGUGAAGGGGAAAGAAUAGAAGGAGAAGCUUAACUUGUAUAUUAAGAGGAAAGAUAGAACAGUGUACAACAGAGCAUCAACUGAUUUGUGGAACAAUUUUGUCUUCAUUGUGAUCUUCUUCGUCAUUGCAUAAUCUGUAGAUGCUGUAAGCGUAGUUAAACUUUAUUCCAUGCCCAAGUUGUUGCUUAUGUCGUUAAGUUCUUGAGAAACUCAACUGAUUAGAUUGAAAUUAUGCGGAUUGUUUCAGCUGUAUAUCCUUUUGUAGCAGUACAUGGAAAAAUAAU